AGCUUGUUGGUGAGGUAAUGGCUCACCAAGGCGACGACGGGUAGCCGGCCUGAGAGGGCGACCGGCCACACUGGGACUGAGACACGGCCCAGACUCCUACGGGAGGCAGCAGUGGGGAAUAUUGCACAAUGGGCGAAAGCCUGAUGCAGCGACGCCGCGUGAGGGAUGACGGCCUUCGGGUUGUAAACCUCUUUCAGCAGGGAAGAAGCGAAAGUGACGGUACCUGCAGAAGAAGCGCCGGCUAACUACGUGCCAGCAGCCGCGGUAAUACGUAGGGCGCAAGCGUUGUCCGGAAUUAUUGGGCGUAAAGAGCUCGUAGGCGGCUUGUCGCGUCGGUUGUGAAAGCCCGGGGCUUAACCCCGGGUCUGCAGUCGAUACGGGCAGGCUAGAGUUCGGUAGGGGAGAUCGGAAUUCCUGGUGUAGCGGUGAAAUGCGCAGAUAUCAGGAGGAACACCGGUGGCGAAGGCGGAUCUCUGGGCCGAUACUGACGCUGAGGAGCGAAAGCGUGGGGAGCGAACAGGAUUAGAUACCCUGGUAGUCCACGCCGUAAACGGUGGGCACUAGGUGUGGGCGACAUUCCACGUCGUCCGUGCCGCAGCUAACGCAUUAAGUGCCCCGCCU
rnacentral:rRNA from 1 species